rnacentral:rRNA from 1 species
CCACCACUAAGCCAGUGGUGAACUCCACAUACGCAUCCUUUGCUGAGGAUACGGUUAACGGAGCGAAAGCGACGUUCAACCGCAAAAGAAGCAGAGGGGGCUUAGUGGUGGGGUGACUGCGUACCUUUUGUAUAAUGGGUCAGCGACUUAUAUUCUGUAGCAAGGUUAACCGCAUAGGGGAGCCGGAGGGAAACCGAGUCUUAAUUGGGCGUUAAGUUGCAGGGUAUAGACCCGAAACCCGGUGAUCUAGCCAUGGGCAGGUUGAAGGUUGGGUAACACUAACUGGAGGACCGAACCGACUAAUGUUGAAAAAUUAGCGGAUGACCUGUGGCUGGGGGUGAAAGGCCAAUCAAACCGGGAGAUAGCUGGUUCUCCCCGAAAGCUAUUUAGGUAGCGCCUCGUGAACUCAUCUCCGGGGGUAGAGCACUGUUUCGGCUAGGGGGCCAUCCCGGCUUACCAACCCGAUGCAAACUGCGAAUACCGGAGAAUGUUAUCACGGGAGACACACGGCGGGUGCUAACGUCCGUCGUGAAGAGGGAAACAACCCAGACCGCCAGCUAAGGUCCCAAAGUCAUGGUUAAGUGGGAAACGAUGUGGGAAGGCCCAGACAGCCAGGAUGUUGGCUUAGAAGCAGCCAUCAUUUAAAGAAAGCGUAAUAGCUCACUGGUCGAGUCGGCCUGCGCGGAAGAUGUAACGGGGCUAAACCAUGCACCGAAGCUGCGGCAGCGACGCUGAUGCGUUGUUGGGUA